GUGAAUCAUCGAAUUUUUGAACGCAAAUUGCACUCUCCGGUUUUCCGGGAGAGUAUGCCUGUUUGAGGGGCAGCCUAAAAAAAAUCGACAGUGUUGCUGUUUUAUGGUGACUUUCGUCGGAGAUGGUUUAUCUUAAAUCUCGGUUCAAGCGACUUAAAAUUUUCUUUUUGGUUCCAUGAACGGUUCUAAGAUUUAUUUCUUUACACGUUUAAGGUAUCGAUUUUUAUUAGACGUGACCAGCAUAUCGGAUCGCGCCCAUAAUCUUUCAUUA
rnacentral:misc_RNA from 1 species